ensembl:snRNA U6 U6 spliceosomal RNA
GUGCCUACUUUGGCAAUACAUAUAAUAAAAUUGGAACAAUAUAGAGAAGAUUAGCAUGGCCCCUGUGUAAGGAUGAUAUGCAAAUUUGUGAAGCAUUCCAUAUUGGA